GUGGGGAAUAUUGGACAAUGGGCGAAAGCCUGAUCCAGCAAUGCCGCGUGUGUGAAGAGGGUCUUCGGAUUGUAAAGCACUUUCGACGGGGACGAUGAUGACGGUACCCGUAGAAGAAGCCCCGGCUAACUUCGUGCCAG
rnacentral:rRNA from 1 species